rnacentral:rRNA from 1 species
GACGAACGCUGGCGGCGUGCUUAACACAUGCAAGUCGAACGGAAAGGCCCUGCUUUUGUGGGGUGCUCGAGUGGCGAACGGGUGAGUAACACGUGAGUAACCUGCCCUUGACUUUGGGAUAACUUCAGGAAACUGGGGCUAAUACCGGAUAGGAGCUCCUGCUGCAUGGUGGGGGUUGGAAAGUUUCGGCGGUUGGGGAUGGACUCGCGGCUUAUCAGCUUGUUGGUGGGGUAGUGGCUUACCAAGGCUUUGACGGGUAGCCGGCCUGAGAGGGGGACCGGCCACAUUGGGACUGAGAUACGGCCCAGACUCCUACGGGAGGCAGCAGUGGGGAAUAUUGCACAAUGGGCGGAAGCCUGAUGCAGCAACGCCGCGUGCGUGAUGACGGCCUUCGGGUUGUAAACCGCUUUCGCCUGUGACGAAGCGUGAGUGACGGUAAUGGGUAAAGAAGCACCGGCUAACUACGUG